AACGAACGCUGGCGGCAUGCCUAACACAUGCAAGUCGAACGAGACCUUCGGGUCUAGUGGCGCACGGGUGCGUAACGCGUGGGAACCUGCCCUUAGGUUCGGAAUAACUCCCCGAAAGGGGUGCUAAUACCGGAUAAUGUCUUCGGACCAAAGAUUUAUCGCCUUUGGAUGGGCCCGCGUUGGAUUAGCUAGUUGGUAGGGUAAAAGCCUACCAAGGCGACGUUCCAUAGCUGGUCUGAGAGGAUGAUCAGCCACACUGGGACUGAGACACGGCCCAGACUCCUACGGGAGGCAGCAGUGGGGAAUAUUGGACAAUGGGCGAAAGCCUGAUCCAGCAAUGCCGCGUGAGUGAUGAGGGCCUUAGGGUUGUAAGGCUCUUUUACCCGGGAUGAUAAUGACAGUACCGGGAGAAUAAGCGCCGGCUAACUCCGUG
rnacentral:rRNA from 1 species